GUGAACAUAGUUUAAUGGCAAAAUAUCUAGGCGUCACCUAGAAAGAUGCCGGUUCGAAUCCGGUUGUUCUCG
rnacentral:tRNA from 1 species